UAUCUUCACUUCACAAGCAGGACAAAAGUUUGGCUCACUUUUGUCCUGUUGGACUCCCUCCAUCUGGUCAGAAUUUGUUUGGUUUUGGUGGAAUUAACCCUUUGUUCUCCCAGUUUUAGUCUGUUCUUGCAGGGUUUUCCACGUAAAACGAUCCUUGGAGGCUGCCAAGAAGACAGAGAGGAAACAAGACCUUGAGUCCAGGAAAUCCUCACCUACUUCAUGGACUUGGGCCUCAUACAAUCUGAGGAGAUGGAGUUCUUGUUUCUUUGAAUGUUCCAGGUGGGACAAUCUGACCAGGUAAGUACAUAACAAAUGAAGGCUAAUUUAUUUGCCAAUUUGGUUUAUUUUAAGUUGAGAUUGAUAACGUUGUAUAUCUAGGUUUGAUAGGAGGAAUCCAGUGGAUGUAUGACCUUUUUUCUUGGGUCAUAUUGAGUCUGUGAUGUCACAUAGACUGGAUCCCAAAUGAAAGCUUUGGAGCAGCGGUUGUUUUUUCUUCUUUUUUUU